UUGAUAACUUGAUAGCAACAAGUUCCUAAUGGUAUCCUCAUAAAAUUGCCGUUUAUAAAUGAAGUAUUGUGAAUUAGAUAUUAUUUUAUUGAGAAAUCUAUUCGUUUAUCAUUAUUUCACAAAUUUUUGCAGUAUAAAUCGUGCAAAAUCUUUGAAUAGUUGUAAAAUAAGAAAAGGACUUAGGUGUAUGCAUUCAACUAGUCUAGUUAAUGUUGUUGAAUACCAUGAUUUUGAUCUGAAUAUUCAUUAUAACCAUUGAAACGGAUUGAGGCAUUAGAAAUCUGUAAAUACAACUGAAUUAGACAUGGUCACAACUAAGGAAAAUAAGCUGAACACUUCUAAUGCUGCUUUCAAGACUAUGAAUAUUGGAUAUAACUAUUGGAACGAAUUGAUGGAUGGGACGUUUGUAAACACCACUGCAACAUGCAUUGAAAAUAAACCGAUAAAACCAAGCUGAACACGUCUUCUUAUGCUGCGAUCAAGGUGGCUGAUAAAGGAAUUCCGUUGAUUUAAGCAGCUAAUGGAGGCUGAAAGGCAGCGGAGCUAAUAUAAGUAAAGCUGGUAGCUGACUUGUAUUCAAAUCUCGGGAGAUGGAUGACCGCGCGUAGAGGGAUCUACUACAUUGAGGCGACCUCAUCGCCAAUCUAUAGCUAUGGAUUACCUCAUCACAUCCUCAUAAUAUUAUUAAUCGCAAAUGGAGUUUUCUUCAGGUUGGUUCAGUGAUUCUCUCUCCUUGUCAAUCAUGUUUGAUUUUGCACUUUAAUUUUUAUUUUCUGCUUGAUG